rnacentral:lncRNA from 1 species
GAAUCUUAAUAGAAACAAAAACGUUUAAGUAUGUGUAAAUCACCAAACCUGAAAGCGAUUUGACUUGAGGGACAAGAGCAGGCUUUAACCUCGAGGAAGCAUCUCGAGAUUCAGAAUCUCCCUUUUUAGGAGAUGCACUCCGAGCAGUCUUUUCGCUGUCGGGCUGGGAAGAAGAAGACAUAUCAACAGGUCGGGGAGG